ACCUGAGCCGAAAGCAGAUGCCUAACCGACUGAGCCACCCAGUAAUCUCCUCACCCAACGUGGGACCCAAACUUACAACCCCAAGAUCAAGAGUCACACCUCUACCGACUGAGCCAUCCAGGAGCCCCAGUGUCGCAGUUUUAAACAUGGCGCCAACUCCUUUGACACUUCUUCCAGUGGGGAGGGACACUCCAUCUCAGAGCUGUGAGAGACCCAAGCUGCAUGUAGAAGUUGCAUGUUGGGGCUACCAUCUUCACCCCCAGCUGAGUCCAACCUUUGAGUCCUCCCAGCCCAGGCAUCAGAUACAUGAGCAAAGAAGCCUCCAGAUGAUUCCAGGUCCCAGAUGUUCUGAGCGAACCCUCCCCUACCCCUUCUAGUCUUCUCAGCUGAGGCUGCAGACAUUGUGGAGCAGACGCAAGCCACCUCAGCUGGGUCCUAUCUGAAUUACUGACCACAGAAUUUACAAUAAAAUGGUUAUUGUUGUAUAUCAUGUUUGGUGGGAGGUUGUCCCACCUGGAACACACAUCAAAUUGACAAGCAAGUUCCACAGUUCCACCUGGAGACAUCACCUACGUUCUUCCUCUCCAUCCCACCUGUGACUGCCUGGCUCAACCCUGGUCAUCUCUCACCCCUGCCCCCCACCCCCACCCCAGCUGGAUUCCC